UACGGAGGGUGCAAGCGUUAAUCGGAAUUACUGGGCGUAAAGCGCGCGUAGGUGGUUGUAUAAGUCGAUUGUGAAAGCCCCGGGCUUAACCUGGGAAUUGCAUUCGAUACUGUUCAGCUAGAGUGUGGUAGAGGGAAGCGGAAUUCCGGGUGUAGCGGUGAAAUGCGUAGAUAUCCGGAGGAACACCAGUGGCGAAGGCGGCUUCCUGGACCAACACUGACACUGAGGCACGAAAGCGUGGGGAGCAAACAGG
rnacentral:rRNA from 1 species